rnacentral:rRNA from 1 species
UACGUAGGGUGCAAGCGUUGUCCGGAAUUAUUGGGCGUAAAGAGCUCGUAGGCGGUCUGUCGCGUCGGCUGUGAAAUCCCGGGGCUCAACCCCGGGCCUGCAGUCGAUACGGGCAGACUAGAGUGCGGUAGGGGAGACUGGAAUUCCUGGUGUAGCGGUGAAAUGCGCAGAUAUCAGGAGGAACACCGGUGGCGAAGGCGGGGUCUCUGGGCCGUAACUGACGCUGAGGAGCGAAAGCGUGGGGGAGCAAACAGG